rnacentral:rRNA from 1 species
UCUUAAGGGCAUUUGGUGGAUGCCUCGGUGUCGAGAGGCGAUGAAGGACGUGGCACUCUGCGAUAAGCCGCGGGGAGAUGAGAGCGAUCUUUGAUCCGCGGAUUUCCGAAUGGGGAAACCCGACCCUUUAGGGUCAUCGUACGGUGAAUUCAUAGCC